rnacentral:misc_RNA from 1 species
AAAAAUAUAUUGACAAUUGUUCCUACAACCUUUACAUAGAACAAUUAUGAUACUGAAAAAGAUAAAAGUCAACAAUUAAGAAAUAAGAGAAAAGCAACUUAACCUGUCUGAACAUCCUGCAAUUGAAGAAAAUGGCAGGGAAUGAAGACAUUGAAGAAGACUCAAAAGAGCAUCCUAUUUCUAAUUUUAUUUCCUAUGACUCCUUGUCGCCUUCCUAUACAGCUUUUGUCUUGUCUGUUUCUUC